CGAUGGAUAGGGGUUCUGAGAGGAAGGUCCCCCCACAUUGGAACUGAGACACGGUCCAAACUCCUACGGGAGGCAGCAGUGAGGAAUAUUGGUCAAUGGACGAGAGUCUGAACCAUCCAAGUAGCGUGAAGGAUGAAGGUUCUAUGGAUUGUAAACUUCUUUUAUACGGGAAUAAACGAAUCCACGUGUGGAUUUUUGCAUGUACCGUAUGAAUAAGGAUCGGCUAACUCCGUGCCAGCAGCCGCGGUAAUACGGAGGAUCCGAGCGUUAUCCGGAUUUAUUGGGUUUAAAGGGAGCGUAGAUGGGUUGUUAAGUCAGUUGUGAAAGUUUGCGGCUCAACCGUAAAAUUGCAAUUGAUACUGGCAGUCUUGAGUACAGUUGAGGUAGGCGGAAUUCGUGGUGUAGCGGUGAAAUGCUUAGAUAUCACGAAGAACUCCGAUUGCGAAGGCAGCUUACUAACCUGUAACUGACAUUGAUGCUCGAAAGUGUGGGUAUCAAACAGGAUUAGAUACCCUGGUAGUCCACACGGUAAACGAUGAAUACUCGCUGUAGGCGAUAUACAGUCUGCGGCCAAGCGAAAGCAUUAAGUAUUCCACCUGGGGAGUACGCCGGCAACGGUGAAACUCAAAGGAAUUGACGGGGGCCCGCACAAGCGGAGGAACAUGUGGUUUAAUUCGAUGAUACGCGAGGAACCUUACCCGGGCUUAAAUUGCAACCGAAUAUGGCGGAAACGCUAUAGCUAGCAAUAGCGGUUGUGAAGGUGCUGCAUGGUUGUCGUCAGCUCGUGCCGUGAGGUGUCGGCUUAAGUGCCAUAACGAGCGCAACCCUUGCCGAUAGUUACUAACAGGUUAUGCUGAGGACUCUGUCGGGACUGCCAUCGUAAGAUGUGAGGAAGGUGGGGAUGACGUCAAAUCAGCACGGCCCUUACGUCCGGGGCUACACACGUGUUACAAUGGGGGGUACAGAGGGCUGCUACCACGCAAGUGGAUGCCAAUCCCAAAAACCUCUCUCAGUUCGGAUUGAAGUCUGCAACCCGACUUCAUGAAGCUGGAUUCGCUAGUAAUCGCGCAUCAGCCACGGCGCGGUGAAUACGUUCCCGGGCCUUGUACACACCGAAGGGCGAAUUCCAGCACACUGGCGGCCGUUACUAG
rnacentral:rRNA from 1 species